GAUGAACCCUGGCGGCGUGCCUAAUGCAUGCAAGUCGAGCGACGCAUACCGGAGGGGUAACCCACUGGUAUGACGGAGCGGCGAACGGGUGAGUAACACUUGAGCAACCUGCCCCACAGACCGGGAUAGCCCAGGGAAACCUGGAUUAAUACCGGAUAUCCUCGGAGGACCGCAUGGUCCAUCGAGGAAAUGCCUUUGUGCUGUGGGAUGGGCUCGAGGCUUAUCAGCUAGUUGGUGGGGUAACGGCCUACCAAGGCAUAGACGAGUAGCUGGUCUGAGAGGACGAUCAGCCACACUGGGACUGAGACACGGCCCAGACUCCUACGGGAGGCAGCAGCAGGGAAUCUUGCGCAAUGGGCGAAAGCCUGACGCAGCAACGCCGCGUGGGGGAUGAAGGCCUUCGGGUUGUAAACCCCUUUCAGGAGGGAAGAAAUUGACGGUACCUCCAAAAGAAGCACCGGCCAACUACGUGCCAGCAGCCGCGGUAAUACGUAGGGUGCGAGCGUUAUCCGGAAUCAUUGGGCGUAAAGAGCUCGUAGGCGGUUCAGCAAGUCGGCCGUGAAAGCCCAGGGCUCAACCCUGGGAGGCCGGUCGAUACUGCUGUGGCUAGGGUCCGGUAGAGGAGAGUGGAAUUCCCGGUGUAGCGGGGAAAUGCGCAGAUAUCGGGAGGAACACCAGUAGCGAAGGCGGCUCUCUGGGCCGGUACCGACGCUGAGGAGCGAAAGCUAGGGGAGCAAACAGGAUUAGAUACCCUGGUAGUCCUAGCCGUAAACGUUGGGCACUAGGUGUGGCGGACUCAUUGACGUCUGCCGUGCCGUAGCUAACGCGAUAAACGUGCCGCCUGGGGAGUACGGUCGCAAGAUUAAAACUCAAAGAAAUUGACGGGGGCCUGCACAAGCGGUGGAGUAUGUGGCUUAAUUCGAUGCAACGCGAAGAACCUUACCUGGCCUUGACAUGCAAGUGGUAGGAACCUGAAAGGGUAACGACCUAGCAAUAGGAGCUUGCACAGGUGCUGCAUGGCUGUCGUCAGCUCGUGUCGUGAGAUGUUGGGUUAAGUCCCGCAACGAGCGCAACCCCUAUGUUCUGUUGCCACUCCCGCGUAAGCGGGAAGCACUCUGGACAGACUGCCUCAUUUAAAUGAGGAGGAAGGUGGGGAUGACGUCAAGUCAGUAUGGCCCUUACGGCCAGGGCUGCACACGUACUACAAUGCCUGGCACAACGGGAAGCAAGACCGCAAGGUGGAGCAAAUCCCUUAAAACCAGGCCCAGUUCGGAUUGUCGUCUGCAACUCGACGGCAUGAAGUCGGAAUCGCUAGUAAUGGCGCAUCAGCUACGGCGCCGUGAAUACGUUCCCAGGCCUUGUACACACCGCCCGUCACAUCAUGAAAGCCGGUUGUACCCGAAGUCGCUGAGCUAACCCCUCGGGGGCAGGUGCCGAAGGUAUGGCCGGUAAUUGGGAUGAAGUCGUAACAAGGUAAC
rnacentral:rRNA from 1 species